rnacentral:rRNA from 1 species
GCUAUGGUAUAACUUAGUGGCAGACGGGUGAGUAAUGUAUAGGAAUCUACCUAGUAGUACGGGAUAAUUGUUGGAAACGUCAACUAAUACCGUAUACGCCCUACGGGGGAAAAAUUUAUUGCUAUUAGAUGAGCCUAUAUUAGAUUAGCUAGUUGGUGGAGUAAUAGCCUACCAAGGCAAUGAUCUAUAGCUGAUCUGAGAGGAUGAUCAGCCACACUGGAACUGAGAUACGGUCCAGACUCCUACGGGAGGCAGCAGUGGGGAAUAUUGGACAAUGGGCGAAAGCCUGAUCCAGCCAUGCCGCAUGAGUGAAGAAGGCCUUUGGGUUGUAAAGCUCUUUUAGUGAGGAAGAUAAUGACGGUACUCACAGAAGAAGUCCUGGCUAACUCCGUGCCAGCAGCCGCGGUAAUACGGGGAGGGCUAGCGUUAUUCGGAAUUAUUGGGCGUAAAGGGCGCGUAGGCUGGUUAAUAAGUUAAAAGUGAAAUCCCGAGGCUUAACCUUGGAAUUGCUUUUAAAACUAUUAAUCUAGAGAUUGAAAGAGGAUAGAGGAAUUCCUGAUGUAGAGGUAAAAUUCGUAAAUAUUAGGAGGAACACCAGUGGCGAAGGCGUCUAUCUGGUUCAAAUCUGACGCUGAAGCGCGAAGGCGUGGGGAGCAAACAGGAUUAGAUACCCUGGUAGUCCACGCUGUAAACGAUGAAUGUUAAAUAUGGGAAGUUUACUUUCUGUAUUACAGCUAACGCGUUAAACAUUCCGCCUGGGGACUACGGUCGCAAGAUUAAAACUCAAAGGAAUUGACGGGGACCCGCACAAGCGGUGGAGCAUGUGGUUUAAUUCGAUGCAACGCGAAAAACCUUACCACUUCUUGACAUGAAAAU